UGGGUCGUUAGCUCAGUCGGUAGAGCAGCGGACUUUUAAUCCGUUGGUCGAAGGUUCGAAUCCUUCACGACCUGUC
rnacentral:tRNA from 1 species